GUGCUUGCUUCAGCAGCACAUAUACUAAAAUUGGAACAAUUCAGAGAAGCUUAGCAUGGCCCCUGCACAAGGGUGACACAUAAAUUCAUGAAGCGUUCCAUAUUUUU
ensembl:snRNA U6 U6 spliceosomal RNA